rnacentral:tRNA from 1 species
CCCGGUCGAGGACGCUGAGGAUGCGCCGGGCGCCGGAUUCGCGCCUGCGGGCGUCGGCGCGUUCGAUGAGGGAUUCGAAUUCCCCGGCCAGGAC